rnacentral:rRNA from 1 species
UACGUAGGGGGCAAGCGUUGUCCGGAUUUAUUGGGCGUAAAGCGCUCGCAGGUGGUCCGUUGCGUCGUGCGUGAAAGACCCCGGCUCAACUGGGGAGUGUCGUGCGAUACGGGCGGACUGGAGGCCAGUAGGGGGAUGCGGAAUUCCGGGUGUAGUGGUGGAAUGCGUAGAGAUCCGGAGGAACACCAGCGGCGAAGGCGGCAUCCUGGACUGGU